AAUUUAAGGGCGUACGGUGGAUGCCUUGACUUUAAGAGGCGAUGAAGGACGUGGCGUUGCUGCGAUAAGCUUCGGGGAGGUGCUUAGCAACCUUUGAUCCGGAGAUUUCCGAAUGGGGAAACCCUGUUCCAUUUAAACGGAACAAUUUUUAUCUUUAUGAUAAAAGAGCGCACCCUGGGAAGUGAAACAUCUCAGUACCAGGAGGAAAAUAAACCAACGCGUGCGUAGCACGCGGUAUUUAAAUAUUUAAAUGUUUAAAUCUCGCGUGUUACGCACGCACAUUUCCCCAGUAGCGGCGAGCGAAAAGGAAGAAGCCCAAACUUCGACGCAAGUCGGAGGGUUGUAAGGUAGCAGUUUUUAUUUAAUUAGAGAGGAGUCAAAAAAUAAGUUAUUAGCUUAAAUUGCUGGAAAGCGACACCAUAGAGGGUGAUAGUCCCGUAAGCGAAAAUAAUUUAUCUCUUUUAUUGCUAUUCUUGAGUACCCCAGGACAUGAAUGGCCGGGGGGAAUCUAGCGGAACUAACCGCUAAGGCUAAAUACUCUUAAAGAUCGAUAGUGAACUAGUACCGUGAGGGAAAGGUGAAAAGCAGCCCGAUUAGGGCGGUGAA
rnacentral:rRNA from 1 species